rnacentral:rRNA from 1 species
AGAAAUCGUUAAGGGCGUAUGGCGGAUGCCUAGGCUUUCAGAGGCGAAGAAGGACGUGGUAAGCUGCGAAAAGCUACGGGGAUUGGCACACACGAAAUGAUCCGUAGAUAUCCGAAUGGGGCAACCCAGUAAGUUGAAGACUUACUACACCGUAAGGUGAGCGAACCCGGAGAACUGAAACAUCUAAGUACCCGGAGGAAAAGAAAUCGAAGAGAUUCCGUAAGUAGUGGCGAGCGAAAGCGGAUUAGCCCAAAAGUUUAUACAUGUUUAGUGGAAUGUUUUGGAAAGAACAAUCAUAGAAGGUGAAAAUCCUGUACACGAAAGGCAUAUAUAGAUGAAGAAAGAGUAGGGCGGGACACGUGAAAUCCUGUCUGAAUAUGGGGGGACCAUCCUCCAAGUGAAAGACCGAUAGUGAACAAGUACUGUGAAGGAAAGGUGAAAAGCACUUCGAAUAGAAGGGUGAAAGAGAACCUGAAACCGUACGCCUACAAGCGGUCGGAGCAGUUAUAUACUGUGACGGCGUGCCUUUUGCAUAAUGAGCCUACGAGUUAAUUUUACUAGCGAGGUUAAGGUAUUAAGUACCGGAGCCGGAGCGAAAGCGAGUCUGAAUAGGGCGAAUAGUUAGUGGGAUUAGACGCGAAACCUUGUGAUCUACCCAUGGGCAGGUUGAAGCACUGGUAACACAGUGUGGAGGACCGAACCGGUUGACGUUGAAAAGUCUUCGGAUGACCUGUGGGUAGGGGUGAAAGGCCAAUCAAACUGGGAGAUAGCUCGUACUCCCCGAAAUGCAUUUAGGUGCAGCGUUGAUUUAGUUUAUUAGAGGUAGAGCUACUGAUUGGAUGCGGGGGUUUCACCGCCUACCAAUUCCUGACAAACUCCGAAUGCUAAUAAAUAUUGAUCAGCAGUGAGGGCAUGGGUGCUAAGGUCCAUGUCCGAGAGGGAAAGAACCCAGACCAACAGCUAAGGUCCCUAAAUAUAUGCUAAGUUGAAACAACGCGGUUGAACUGCAUUGACAGCUAGGAUGUUGGCUUGGAAGCAGCCAUUCAUUUAAAGAGUGCGUAACAGCUCACUAGUCGAGCGGUUCGGCAUGGAUAAUAAUCGGGCAUAAGCAUAUUACCGAAGCUAUGGCAACGAAAGUUGGGUAGGGGAGCAUUCUAUCGGCGUAGAAGCAUCACUGUGAGGUGUUGUGGAGCUUAUAGAAAAGAAAAUGUAGGCAUAAGUAACGAUAAAGCAGGCGAGAAACCUGCUCACCGAAAGACUAAGGGUUCCUCAGCCAUGCUAAUCAGCUGAGGGUUAGUCGGGACCUAACGCGAACCCGAGAGGGGAAGUGGAUGGACAAUGGGUUAAUAUUCCCAUACUUGCUCACGAAUAAAGGGGACGGUUCAGCUAGACUACUGGAGACUGACGGAAUAGUCAAGACCUAGCCUACGGGCGAAGUUGUUGUAGAGUAACUGGAUCCAAGAAAAGCCGAAGUGAAGCAACCCGUACCAUAAACCGACACAGGUAGUCGAGGAGAGAAUCCUAAGGUGCUCGAGUGAGUCGUGGCUAAGGAACUAGGCAAAAUAGUCUCGUAACUUCGGAAUAAGAGACGCCAACAGCGAUGUUGGCCGCAGUGAAGAGGCCCAGGCGACUGUUUAUCAAAAACACAGGACUCUGCUAAAUCGAAAGAUGCUGUAUAGGGUCUGACACCUGCCCGGUGCUGGAAGGUUAAGGAAGGUGCUUAGCGUAAGCGAAGGCAUUGACUGAAGCCCCAGUAAACGGCGGCCGUAACUAUAACGGUCCUAAGGUAGCGAAAUUACUGUCUCAGCCACGAGCUCGGUGAAAUUGUAGUAUCGGUGAAGAUGCCGAUUACCCGCAAUGGGACGAAAAGACCCUGUGAACCUUUACUAUAACUUCGUAUUGACUUUGAGUAAGUAAUGUGUAGGAUAGGUGGGAGGCUAUGAAGCUGGCACGCUAGUGUUGGUGGAGCCGUUGUUGAAAUACCACCCUUUGCUUACUUGGAGCCUAACUUCUGAAUAAGAGUAAGAAGGACAUUGCGUGGUGGGUAGUUUGACUGGGGUGGUCGCCUCCAAAAGAGUAACGGAGGCUUUCAAAGGUACCCUCAGCACGCUUGGUAACCGUGCGUAGAGUGUAAUGGCAUAAGGGUGCUUGACUGUGAGACCAACAAGUCGAUCAGGUGCGAAAGCAGGACAUAGUGAUCCGGUGGUUCCGUAUGGAAGGGCCAUCGCUCAUAGGAUAAAAGGUACUCCGGGGAUAACAGGCUAGUCUCCCCCAAGAGCUCACAUCGACGGGGAGGUUCGGCACCUCGAUGUCGGCUCGUCACAUCCUGGGGCUGGAGAAGGUCCCAAGGGUUG